CUUCGUAUUCCGUUCCGUUGUUGGAAAUAGAAAGAAAAAAGGUGUUGGUCUUGUCUUGGAUCUGAUCUGGGGAAGGAAACUUUGGGACCGCCUGAAAACAGAGAUUCCAUCCUGACUCAUAGAUUGGUCUUAGACGGAGAAGGCACGUAGUGAAGAGGAAAAUAGAAGAAAGUAGCACUCGAGCCCAAUGAAUUGCCCUUCCCUCUCCGAUACUUAUCGUCGAAUGGCUUGAAUUCGGGUUUGGGACUCGUUCUAUGACCGUACUUCCUGAGGAGAGUAGAGUGUAGACCCUUCCCUAGUGGAAUCCGCUUCUCUUCUUUCUUUUGCUCAGCUGAGCUACGUCCUAUUCCGUCUGACUAUGGCAAGUUUUUUUUGGGAGGCAUUAAGUCCCUUGCUAAAGGGGAUCGAUUUAGAAACAUAGACCCCAUGAAAAUAUGCCAACAAAAAAAGGAAAAACUGCAGGCGUUUUCCGCAGCAGGUCGUAAGCUUUACACAACAGGCCGUGAUGAAGGACGAGUCGUUCCUUCACAUUGCGUUUGUAUGUAUAACAGACAACCGGCGGCGACAAGAGAUAUUUCAAGAGAAAGCGAAUAAUCGAAGUAAGCCGAAGCAUACCAAUGAAGAUAGUGCAAGUGCUGCUUCAUCCAUUCCUGGAGAAGACGCUCAAGCAUAUUCUCUUCAUCGCCCUCCCAGAAUCGUCUAAGCCGGUCAAACUCCUUUUCAUCGAAGUCUUUUGGCUUCACGCGCUCUAAGAUAAAGAACCGCACCAUAGUUACCAUAGCAGACAAGAGCCCAGCUGACGGGGACGUUCGGUAAGGCUUGGCUUUCUAUUUCGAUAGCUAGACGAGUUUCGAAGGGGAAGGAGGUAGAGGCAAAGAAAAAACAAGAAGAUUAGCUGCCAGCCGUCAAUCGAACGGGAAGGGAAAUUGCUCCGCACCUUACCUUACUACAAAGCUUGCCAUCCCCUAGAAUGAAUAGGGCUUUCUUUCGAACAGGAUUUCCCGACUUGAGAGCCUGAAGCCCUAAAGACCAAAGGAGACUGUUGCUUAAAAUGAGACUGGCUAGAAUGGAUAGCGUUGGUUGGACCCCCGAAAAAGAAUUCAUGGUUGAGGCCCACUCUUCCAUCUCAUGAAAUCACAACUGGAAUAGCGGAAAUCAGGUACAAAAAGACGGGUAAGCGUUCUAAUUCAUCAAACUUUCUGCACUUGCUAGGGCAUACCCGAUCACCUGGCUUAACCCAAUGUAAAGGGGGCUAACCCACCUUACUUCAAACGCUUACAGAACUACGGCAAUGGAUUCUCUCAUUCAUGUUGAAAAGCGCUAACAACCUUGAUAUCGCCUGGAAAGGUUCACUCCACUCCCAUUUGAAUGAGACAAAGACACGUUUUGAAUACCGACCAUUGGAGCUAUUUUCAGGCGAUUGGGGCGAGAUACCAUCGGGAGAGUUUCUUCUAUUUCACUCGACAAGCGAACCCUAGUACGAUGCUUGAAAAUUGCACUACUGGAUGUCUAUCUUCCCUGCCAAGAGGCCAAGACUUUUCUUUCAGAUUGGCUCUUUCAACUUGAACUAGAACUUGGACUGUCGCUGAAUCCUUCCCGGGAUAUCAAAUCAUUUACCAUUCUUUCUUUCUUGCGUAUCUCUCCUUUGAGAAAGGGAAUCAGUCCAGAAAUCAAAAGUCUGAUUUCUAUACGUAAUUCUUUCUUUUCUUUGUUCUGCAGUUACGCAGGGAAUCCCGUUCUUUGGGUGAUUCAAGGAAAGCAGCCCAUGUCUUGUUCUAAUCUUGAGGCCGACCACUGGACAAGAAAGCAUAUAGUUUCACUCUUUUGUAGGGGCACCGGCCGGCGGAUAGUAGAGUCCCUCGAAUCUUCUAGUUCAGUUCCUCUCCUUUCAGGCGAGCUACUUUUUGUUUAGAUACGAUAUUUCUACUUUCUUUCUCUUUUGUUUCUAUACGAAAUAUCGUAUGUAUGCUAUGAAUCAAGUUUGUUGUUUGUUUACGAUAAGCCAGCGCCCAAUAGAGCCUAGCCCGGACGGACCAAAAUGGUCUAGCGAAGCCGGUCCCCGCUUGGUGUAAGUACUUCUCGAACUUGAUUGAAAGCAGCACAGCUUUUCAGGAGAGAAUCAUUUAAAA